rnacentral:rRNA from 1 species
UACGAAGGGGGCUAGCGCUGCUCGGAAUCACUGGGCGUAAAGCGCACGUAGGCGGACUCUUAAGUCGGUGGUGAAAUCCUGGAGCUCAACUCCAGAACUGCCUUCGAUACUGAGAGUCUCGAGUCCGGGAGAGGUGAGUGGAACUGCGAGUGUAGAGGUGAAAUUCGUAGAUAUUCGCAAGAACACCAGUGGCGAAGGCGGCUCACUGGCCCGGUACUGACGCUGAGGAGCGAAAGCGUGGGGAGCGAACAGG